rnacentral:rRNA from 1 species
CCCUUAGAUGUCCGGGGCCGCACGCGCGCUACACUGAAGGAAUCAGCGUGGCUUUCUCCCUGACCCGAAAGGGUUGGGAAACCCGUUGAAUAUCCUUCGUGAUAGGGAUUGGGGCUUGAAAUUGUUCCCCAUGAACGAGGAAUUCCCAGUAAGCGCGAGUCAUAAGCUCGCGUUGAUUACGUCCCUGCCCUUUGUACACACCGCCCGUCGCUACUACCGAUUGAACGGUUUAGUGAGGGCCUCGGAUUGGUCUCGGCCCGCUCUUUACCGGGCGGCGCCGUUGGUCGAGAAGACGCUCGAACUUGAUCGUUUAGAGGAAGUAAAAGUCGUAACA